AGAAGAGCUUCAAGGAAUAUGGUCUUUGAAUUGAACCCAACAAUGGUGGUGCUGCUGCCGUGCCGUCAGACCGGAGAGGCGGGGAACCCUCAUCUGUCCUGUCUCCACGGAAACCCUCGCCUAGGUGUCUGUCUGUCUGUUGUCAGGGCAACAGGGCAGAGAGGGUAACGCCGGAGAGGAAAAUACCGAUGAAGGCAAGGAGGCGAUGUGGAGACAACAAAGACAGGCGGGGCAGCAGACGUGGUGUCAGCUGAGACCUCCGUGAAUAAGGAUGCUCGCUGCCACCGGAGCCUCUGCAGACAUUAACUCGAUACUCCAGAUGCAGAAAUUCUAUUUCUGGACAAUCAAGCUGCAUCAAGAGGACAAUAACAGCUUCAAAAUUCAACCUGCUGGACUGAUCUGGACUCAAACAUGGCCAACGAAGACUUGGUUGUUGGGAAAUAAGGAAAUAUGUUUCAGUGAAAAUGUUGCACCAAUAGUAUUUAACAACCACUCAUGCUGAACC
ensembl:lncRNA